rnacentral:rRNA from 1 species
AUACGUAGGGGGCGAGCGUUGUCCGGAAUGAUUGGGCGUAAAGGGCGCGUAGGCGGCCUGUUAUGUCUGGAGUGAAAGUCCUGUUUUCAAGAUGGGAAUUGCUUUGGAUACUGAUGGGCUUGAGUGCAGGAGAGGUUAUCGGAAUUCCCGGUGUAGCGGUGAAAUGCGUAGAGAUCGGGAGGAACACCAGUGGCGAAGGCGGGUAACUGGACUGCAACUGACGCUGAGGCGCGAAAGUGUGGGGAGCAAACAGGAUUAGAUACCCUGGUAGUCCACACUGUAAACGAUGAAUGCUAGGUGUAAGAGGUAUCGACCCCUUUUGUGCCGGAGUUAACACAAUAAGCAUUCCGCCUGGGGAGUACGGCCGCAGGGUUGAAACUCAAAUGAAUUGGCGGG